AAGAAAGAUGAGGGUUAAUACCAAUUAUAUGAUCGCACCUAUAGGAGGAUGAAAGAGAGUCAAGCACAUAUGAAGGAGGAGCACCAUAUGUGGAGAGCACCAAAUGAGGGAGGUAAUGAAGGAGGAGCGUCAUACAAUCCAUGUCAAGGAUCACCAUAUGGAUAUCCAUAUAGGUAUGGAUGAUGGUAUGUAUAAGUGAUUGGUGGUGGAGGAGGAGCGACAAUGCUAGGAGCUUAGUG
rnacentral:lncRNA from 7 species